GUUUCGAUCUGUUGAGGGCAGAUGUAAUGAAUGUGAGUAUCAAUUCCUCCCGCUGUUACGAUAUAUCCUUUUCCUCCAUGGACUUCUGUAGAAGCUCCGAUAAUCAUAUUAGGAGAUACACCAUCCAUGGUAUCAGGGUUUCCAGCCUUUCCGAUUCCUACGAUUUUUCCAUCUUUGAUUCCGAUAUCUCCCUUUACAAUUCCCCAGUGGUCAAUGAUUACUGCACCUGUGAUACAAAGGUCCAAAACACCUUCAUCUCUUUUCGCCGUAACAUUCUGUCCCAUCCCGUCACGAAC
rnacentral:sRNA from 1 species